GAGACUGAUGUCCUGCCCCUAGAUAGCCCCUUUGGGCACAUUGACUGAUCAGAAUAAUCAAAUGAACUACAGAGUAAUAAUUGUUUGGAGUCAUUAUUGAGCAAGUAUUUGAGAAGAAAAGGAAUAUCUGAAAGAAUCAGGAUCUGUGCAGAGACAAUUAUUGCAGAAAUGCAGCACCCAAAGUAAUCUAGAGGCCUCCACUGUCAUCAAGGUUCCGUUGUGCUAGGCACUGUACAAACAAACAGAUAUACAGUAAACAGGUCCAGAGAGGCAAUAUAUAGACUCAUGAAAAUGUAGGGCUGAAAGGGACCUCCUGAGGUCUAGUCCAGCCCCCUGUGCUAAGGCGGGUCAAGUAUGUCUAGAAGACCUUCGCUGACAGGGAACACAUACAUGUAAUGAGCGGGAACAGUUUCUGGACAUCCAAAGAAGCACUGUUCGUUGUUUUGUCAUCAUCAUCAAGUUUAGAGUGUAAUUUGGGAAAUUCUAUACAAUGCAGGAGGACUUGAUUCUCACCAAUGGCCUGGGAUAGUGACCUGAGUGAUAAGGUGCAGUGAGUUGAUCACCUUGGAGUUUCAUGUAUCCAAUAUAAGAGCAAUCAGUUCUUCCCGCUGGUAUGAAAGACUUGAAACUGGAGGUGAAAUGGGAGGCUCCAGGCUGAUGAAAACUGAGUUUUUCAUUAUGUUGAUGUGCUUCGCUGUGCGUGGAUUGAACUAGACACUGUAACCUUCACACAGCAGUUCUUCUGGGCUGGUCCAUGCAGGUAUCCUUGGAGGAGAGCUGAGAUAUAGAGACUGAAAUAACAAAAGGAGCAGCCAUCACGAUGAAAACAAAUCUACUGGAUCUACAGUGUAUUCACUUGCCUGUAAAGUUUUAUAGAAUAAUAAAGAAGGAUAUUUGAGAU